rnacentral:rRNA from 1 species
AUUGAACGCUGGCGGAAUGCUUUACACAUGCAAGUCGAACGGCAGCACGGACUUCGGUCUGGUGGCGAGUGGCGAACGGGUGAGUAAUGUAUCGGAACGUGCCCAGUAGUGGGGGAUAACGUAGUGAAAAUUACGCUAAUACCGCAUACGAUCUAUGGAUGAAAGCGGGGGAUCACAAGACCUCGCGCGAUUGGAGCGGCCGAUAUCAGAUUAGGUAGUUGGUGGGGUAAAGGCCCACCAAGCCAACGAUCUGUAGCUGGUCUGAGAGGACGACCAGCCACACUGGAACUGAGACACGGUCAAGACUCCUAAGGGAGGCAGCAGUGGGGAAUUUUGGACGAUGGGCGAAAGCCUGAUCCAGCCAUACCGCGUGCAGGAUGAAGGCCCUCGGGUUGUAAACUGCUUUUGUACAGAACGAAAAGGUUUCUACUAAUACUAGGAGCUCAUGACGGUACUGUAAAAAUAAGCACCGGCUAACUACGUGCCAGCCGCCGCCGUAA